CUACGGGGUGCACCAGUCGAGAAUCUUUCGCAAUGGGCGAAAGCCUGACGAAGCGACGCUGUGUGAAUGAAGAAGGCCUUCGGGUUGUAAAGUUCUUUCGCAUGGAAACAAGAAAAUAUGGUUAACAGCCGUAUGAUUUGAGGGUACCAUGUAAAGAAGCACCGGCUAACUCCGUGCCAGCAGCUGCGGUAAUACGGAGGGUGCUAGCAUUAAUCGGAUUUAUUGGGCGUAAAGGGCGCGUAGGCGGAUAGGUAAGUCAUAUAUGAAAUUCCAGGGCUCAACCCGGGAGCUGUGUAUGAAACUGCUUUUCUAGAGGUCAAGUGGGGAAAAUGGAAUUCCACGUGUAGCGGUGAAAUGCGUAGAUAUGUGGAAGAACACCGGAGGCGAAGGCGGUUUUCUAACUUGAAUCUGACGCUGAGGCGCGAAAGCGAGGGGAGCAAACAGGAUUAGAUACCCGCGUAGUC
rnacentral:rRNA from 1 species